GGGAGCUUUUGAAUGCUGCGAAGAGAGAAGACGCCGGUUUUCAUCGAAGUUUUUGUUAAACCCUGGAAAUCAACGCCACAAUUAAUGCCCCUCCCCAGAAAGAACCGCACCGGCAGCAACCCCGUCAGUUCAGUCUUCAGCACACGACGCAACAAAGUCACCCAACCUACCUUAGACCUUCAGCACCGCAGGCAAUAUCGACACCUCGGACUCAUGAUGUGGUCAAUUCCACGCUGGUGUAACAAGCCAUUAAGCCUCAGGCAUGUGCACUGGCUCUUCAUGAGCCCAGUCUCUUAAACAUCUCACCCAUAGAUUGUGUCAGCUGAUGGUAUUGUACAAAUUGCAACAUGAUCAGAGAAAUAGUAGUGGCAAGUUACACUGAGUGAGAGGAGGUAGUGUGAAAUCACUGGUGCCAAGGUGGGCUGAUGUGGACUACCAUACCUCCUAACGUGGACAAGUAAUACACUACUUACCCGAAAUGAACCAUGUUGUAUUUGUUCUGUUACACCCAUACAUAAUUCAUUAGUUCCAUUGGAAGAAAUUCAUUGGAAUUCCAUGGAACAUCCCUCCCAUGAAAUGCGUAUAUACUGUCAUUCUUGAAGGUUGCAGUGUGGUACCACUAGCAACCCGACUUGCAUGUGCAAUUGUUGCAUAGCUCAGGGUUUCAGAGCUAAUUAUGGGGUACUUCUGUCCUGGUAGCACUGACUGGUUUACGUGCCUCAUGCGUGUGCCGUGUGUGCAGGGUAGCUGCUUUUGCUUCCCAGACAAACCUAUGCAAGUAUGAAUAAUGCUUUAAGCUUCACUUGUUGUUACUGUA